rnacentral:rRNA from 1 species
UUGUGGAAACAGGUGCUAAUACCGCAUAACAAUGUGAAUCGCAUGAUUCAAAUUUAAAAGAUGGUUUCGGCUAUCACUUUGGGAUGGACCUGCGGCGCAUUAGCUUGUUGGUAGGGUAACGGCCUACCAAGGCUGUGAUGCGUAGCCGAGUUGAGAGACUGAUCGGCCACAAUGGAAGUGAGACACGGUCCAUACUCCUACGGGAGGCAGCAGUAGGGAAUCUUCCACAAUGGGCGCAAGCCUGAUGGAGCAACACCGCGUGAGUGAAGAAGGGUUUCGGCUCGUAAAGCUCUGUUGUUAGAGAAGAACGUGCGUGAGAGCAACUGUUCACGCAGUGACGGUAUCUAACCAGAAAGUCACGGCUAACUA